rnacentral:rRNA from 1 species
UACGUAGGGUGCGAGCGUUAAUCGGAAUUACUGGGCGUAAAGCGUGCGCAGGCGGUUUGUUAAGCCAGAUGUGAAAGCCCCGGGCUCAACCUGGGAACUGCGUUUGGUACUGGCAAGCUAGAGUACGGCAGAGGGGGGUGGAAUUCCACGUGUAGCGGUGAAAUGCGUAGAGAUCGGGAGGAACAUCAGUGGCGAAGGCGGCCAUCUGGGACAACACUGACGCUGAAGCACGAAAGCGUGGGGAGCAAACAGG